UGGGGUAUUGUGCACAGAAAAAGUGAAGAAGAGCUUUAUUUUUGAUGGACCUUCUUUUUUAAACCCUAGAAUGAGAAGCAGUGAGAUAAUGUCAGGUCGUGGUCUGUAGUUGAGAUAAUGUCAGGUAGUGUCUGUAGUUGAGAUAAUGUCAGGUAGUGUCUGUAGUUGAGAUAAUGUCAGGUAGUAGUCUGUAGUUGAGAUAAUGGCAGGUAGUGUGUGUAGUUGAGAUAAUGUCAGGUAGUAGUCUGUAGUUGAGAUAAUGGCAGGUAGUGUCUGUAGUUGAGAUAAUGUCAGGUAGUAGUCUGUAGUUGAGAUAAUGUCAGGUAGUGGUCUGUAGUUAUAUGAAUAGAAGCAGUGAGAUAAUAUCAGGUAGUGUCUGUAGUUG
ensembl:lncRNA